UUGAAAAGGAAAAAGAUGAAAUAUAUGUUUAUAUAUAACUCUCUACAUACCUCAUUGAAGUCAAAAUGCAUUUAAUUGUGUACGUAGCUUUUAAAUGAGAAACGGUACUGGCUUUUUUUUUUCUCCUUUCUUAAAAAAAAAAGUGACAGAAAUCCUAGUGACUUUGGGGGGAGAGAUAUGAAUAGAUGAUUGAGUUUUUUUCCAAGGAGUCCAUGUUUGAUUCUCUCCUUUGCCCAGCCCUCAGUGUUCUGUGAUUGUUGUCAAUUUUAUCUCUACUCUUUCCCUUCCUCUCCUCCAGUGGCUUCCUUGUAAAAUCGUCUGACUUGAGAAAUUAAUUUGGUGGUGACUAGGUCAGAUUUUUAGGAGAAAGAGGAGAGGGUCGGAUCUGAAGAUUGUGAAAUUCUUUUCUCCUGUGUCAUCGAACGCCUCUUCCUCCAUGACCUUCGACACUGAUAAAGUAGAAGAAACUGAGGCACGGGGAGAGGAAGGCAGCUGAGAAGAGAGGAAUGAGGGAGACAAAGUCUAGCUGCGUAGCCCGGGUUCCUCGGCUUCCCCAGUGCACGUCUGUAGGCACGCACCCACCAUGCCUAGGUCUUCAGGAGACAGACUCGGACUGUACACAGGCCUUCUUUUGAGAAUAAUGAUCAAACAUCUCCAUAUCAUGUAUACUGUCCUUCAUUUUUGCUUCGUAAACGACCCGUGUUCCUGAACCUCCUCACUUGCUGGUUAGAUGUCUGUCUUCCUCUCUGUUCCCACCUCUGCUCUGGAUUGGCUGACCUUCUGUCUGCCUGGCCCGUAUCCCUCCAUCAUCUCGUCUGCCUGCAGAACUACUGAGUGUUGGUAAAUUGUGUGGCACCGUGUCCGUGUCGAGCAUUACUUUGUCUUCUGUCUUACCCAGUCCCUCCAUCACUGUCUGCUUCCUCUCCCUGUGUGUUGGUCUUGGGAAUGCCACCUGCUUCUCGUGGCUGUUUCUCUUUUUCCUUGAUAGCCCGUUGUUCCGCAUUUCUCUCUCUGCUCCAUUCUUGUCUCUUUCCUUCUGUGUUCACGAGUUCCUCUGUAUUUCUUUUGUCCAUUUGUUUUCUGUCCUUGGGCCUUUUGUCUGUGAUUGUUUCACUGUCUCUGAUGCCUGUCCCCUGCUAACCAUGUCAGUGUGGGCAUCUGCUCUCUCUUUCUAUACUUCCAAAAGUAAGGCAGGUUGGAAUCUCUUGGUGAUUACUUCUUGUUUUUAUUGGAAGAAUGUUUGGGGAGAAAAAGGAGCAUACAAAUAUGCAGUUAUCCCACACAGACUAGAGGUUGAGAGACCUCCCAGUAUAGACUAAGGAGCAUGUGAAACA